AGAGUUUGAUCCUGGCUCAGAAUCAACGCUGGCGGCGUGCCUCAGACAUGCAAGUCGAACGCGAAAGCUCCCUUCGGGGAGCAAGUAGAGUGGCGCACGGGUGAGUAACACGUAGGUAAUCUACCUUCGGAUGGGGAAUAACAACCGGAAACGGUUGCUAAUACCGCAUAAUGCAGCGGCACCUAAUGGUGACAGUUGUUAAAGCGGGGGAUCGCAAGACCUCGCGUCUGAAGAGGAGCCUGCGGCGGAUUAGCUAGUUGGUAAGGUAACGGCUUACCAAGGCGAUGACCCGUAGCCGGCCUGAGAGGGCGGUCGGCCACACUGACACUGACAUACGGGUCAGACUCCUACGGGAGGCAGCAGUCGGGAAUUUUGGGCAAUGGGCGAAAGCCUGACCCAGCAACGCCGCGUGAAGGAUGAAAUCCUUCGGGAUGUAAACUUCGCAAGAACGGGAAGAAUAAGUGAGAGUUAAUAUCUCUCGCGAUGACGGUACCGUUUGUAAGCUCCGGCUAACUCCGUGCCAGCAGCCGCGGUAAUACGGGGGGAGCAAGCGUUGUUCGGAUUUACUGGGCGUAAAGGGCGCGUAGGCGGCCACCGCAAGUCGACUGUGAAAUCUCCGGGCUUAACCCGGAAAGGUCAGCCGAUACUGCGGGGCUAGAGUGCAGAAGGGGCAACUGGAAUUCUCGGUGUAGCGGUGAAAUGCGUAGAUAUCGAGAGGAACACCUGCGGCGAAGGCGGGUUGCUGGGCUGACACUGACGCGGAGGCGCGAAAGCUAGGGGAGCGAACGGGAUUAGAUACCCCGGUAGUCC
rnacentral:rRNA from 1 species